rnacentral:rRNA from 1 species
CCUACGGGCGGCAGCAGUGAGGAAUAUUGGUCAAUGGCCGGAAGGCUGAACCAGCCAUGCCGCGUGAAGGUCAGUGCCCUAUGGGCGUUAAACUUCUUUUGUGCGGGAGCAAUAAUGGUCACGUGUGGCCAGACGAGAGUACCGUACGAAUAAGCAUCGGCUAACUCCGUGCCAGCAGCCGCGGUCAUACGGGGGAUGCAAGCGUUAUCCGGAUUUAUUGGGUUUAAAGGGUGCGUAGGCUGUGAGGUAAGUCAGCGGUGAAAUGCCCCCGCGCAACGGGGUGAAGUGCCAUUGAUACUGCCUUGCUGGAAUGCGGAUGCCGUGGGAGGAAUGUGUGGUGUAGCGGUGAAAGGCAUAGAUAUCACACAGAACACCGAUUGCGAAGGCAUCUCACGAAUCCGCGAUUGACGCUGAUGCACGAAAGCGUGGGUAUCAAACAGGAUUAGAUACCCCGGUAGUC